rnacentral:rRNA from 1 species
UACGUAGGGGGCAAGCGUUGUCCGGAUUUAUUGGGCGUAAAGAGCGUGUAGGCGGCCUUACAGGUCAGCUGUGAAAACUCGAGGCUCAACCUCGAGACGUCGGUUGAAACCGUAUGGCUAGAGUCCGGAAGAGGAGAGUGGAAUUCCCGGUGUAGCGGUGAAAUGCGCAGAUAUCGGGAAGAACACCCGUGGCGAAGGCGGCUCUCUAGUACGUGACUGACGCUGAGACGCGAAAGCGUGGGGAGCGAACAGG